rnacentral:rRNA from 1 species
GUAGGUGGCAAGCGUUGUCCGGAAUUAUUGGGCGUAAAGCGCGCGCAGGCGGUUCUUUAAGUCUGAUGUGAAAGCCCACGGCUCAACCGUGGAGGGUCAUUGGAAACUGGAGAACUUGAGUACAGAAGAGGAAAGCGGCAUUCCACGUGUAGCGGUGAAAUGCGUAGAGAUGUGGAGGAACACCAGUGGCGAAGGCGGCUUUCUGGUCUGUAACUGACGCUGAGGCGCGAAAGCGUGGGGGAGCAAACAGGAUUAGAUACCCUGGUAGUCCACGCCGUAAACGAUGAGUGCUAAGUGUUAGGGGGUUUCCGCCCCUUAGUGCUGCAGCUAACGCAUUAAGCACUCCGCCUGGGGAGUACGGCCGCAAGGCUG